AUUUAACGCUGGCGGCAGGCCUAACACAUGCAAGUCGAGCGGAUGAAGGGAGCUUGCUCCUGGAUUCAGCGGCGGACGGGUGAGUAAUGCCUAGGAAUCUGCCUGGUAGUGGGGGAUAACGUCCGGAAACGGGCGCUAAUACCGCAUACGUCCUGUGGGAGAAAGUGGGGGAUCUUCGGACCUCACGCUAUCAGAUGAGCCUAGGUCGGAUUAGCUAGUUGGUGGGGUAAAGGCCUACCAAGGCGACGAUCCGUAACUUGUCUGAGAGGAUGAUCAGUCACACUGGAACUGAGACACGGUCCAGACUCCUAUGGGAGGCAGGAGUGGGGAAUAUUGGACAAUGGGCUGAAGCCUGAGCCAGCCAUGCCGCGUGUGUGAAGAAGGUCUUCGGAUUGUAAAGCUCUUUAAGUUGGGAGGAAGAGCAGUAAGUUAAUACCGUGCUGUUUUGACGUUACCAAAAGAAUAAGCACCGGCUAACUUCGUG
rnacentral:rRNA from 1 species